UACGUAGGGGGCAAGCGUUGUCCGGAAUCAUUGGGCGUAAAGCGCGUGUAGGCGGCUCGAUAAGUCUGCUGUGAAAGUCCAGGGCUCAACCCUGGAAUGCCGGUGGAAACUGUCGAGCUAGAGUCCGGAAGAGGCGAGUGGAAUUCCUGGUGUAGCGGUGAAAUGCGCAGAUAUCAGGAGGAACACCAAUGGCGAAGGCAGCUCGCUGGGACGGUACUGACGCUGAGACGCGAAAGCGUGGGGAGCAAAC
rnacentral:rRNA from 1 species